UUGGAUAUUGGGCGAGCGCGGUCGGUCCGUCGCAGGGCGUGCNACUGGUCGCGUUCGNNCNCUCGACUUCGGUUCUCUGUCGGUGCUCUUGACUGAGUGUCGGCGGUGGCCGAGAAGUUUACUUUGAAAAAAUUAGAGUGUUCAAAGCAGGCUGGUCGCCUGAAUAGUGUUGCAUGGAAUAAUGGAAUAGGACCUCGGUUCUAUUUUGUUGGUUUUCGGAACGNGAGGUAAUGAUUAAGAGGGACAGACGGGGGUGUCCGUACUCUGCCGNUUAGAGGUGAAAUUCUUGGAUCGGCGGAAGACGNACUACUGCG
rnacentral:rRNA from 1 species